rnacentral:rRNA from 1 species
AGUAACGGCGAGUGAAGCGGUAACAGCUCAAAUUUGAAAUCUGGCCUCACGGUCCGAGUUGUAAUUUGUAGAGGAUGCUUCGAGCAUGGUCUGGCCUAAGUUCCUUGGAACAGGACGUCAUAGAGGGUGAGAAUCCCGUAUGCGGCCAGGUGCCUACGCUCAUGUGAAGCUCCUUCGACGAGUCGAGUUGUUUGGGAAUGCAGCUCAAAAUGGGUGGUAAAUUUCAUCUAAAGCUAAAUAUUGGCCAGAGACCGAUAGCGCACAAGUAGAGUGAUCGAAAGAUGAAAAGCACUUUGGAAAGAGAGUUAAACAGUACGUGAAAUUGUUGAAAGGGAAGCGCUUGCAACCAGACUUGCGCGCGGCCGAUCAUCCGGUGUUCUCACCGGUGCACUCGGCCGUGCUCAGGCCAGCAUCGGUUUUGGCGGCUGGAUAAAGGCCCUAGGAAUGUAGCUCCUCUCGGGGAGUGUUAUAGCCUAGGGUGCAAUGCAGCCUGCUGGGACCGAGGACCGCGCUUCGGCUAGGAUGCUGGCGUAAUGGUUGUAAGCGGCCCGUCUUGAAACACGGACCAAGGAGUCUAACAUCUAUGCGAGUGUUUGGGUGUCAAACCCAUACGCGUAAUGAAAGUGAACGGAGGUGAGAACCCUUAAGGGUGCAUCAUCGACCGGUCCUGAAGUUUACGGAAGGAUCUGAGUAAGAGCAUAGCUGUUGGGACCCGAAAGAUGGUGAACUAU